rnacentral:misc_RNA from 1 species
GAACAGAGUUGUGCAUUGUUCUCCAUCGCACAGAUAUUAUCAACCUAGCCAUGGAAGUUCUGGGUUCCAUCUUUGGAGAAAUUGGAGGGUACCUUGUUAAGGCAAUUAAGCGUCGAUUUGGCUAUUGUAUUCACUACCACAGGAACGUUGAGACUCUCAAAAAGCAAGUUCAAAUACUAGAGGCAACGCGAAAAGAUGUAGAAGCAUCCACUAAUACAACAAAAAGAAAUGGUGAGGUUAU